UCCUAGCCGUGAUAGAAGCGAUAUCCUUUUAUGAUAGUGCCGAUAGCUGCCGAGAGUCAUAAAAGAUAUAGCGUCCCGAAGCCUC
rnacentral:sRNA from 1 species